UACAGAGGCCUCGAGCGUUAGGCGGAAUCACUGGGCUUAAAGCGUGUGUAGGCGGACUUCUAAGUACCUUGUGAAAUCCCACGGCUCACCCGUGGAACUGCUCGGUAUACUGGUCGUCUUGAGCCUUCUAGGGGCGAGUGGAACAAAUGGUGGAGCGGUGAAAUGCGUAGAUAUCAGGAGGAAUACCGGUGGGGUAGACGGCUCUCUGGACCGCCACUGACGCUGAGACACGAAAGCGUGGGUAGCAAACAGG
rnacentral:rRNA from 1 species